CGUUAGAGCAUUGAGAGGAUCUUUCCCUAGUACGAGAGGAUCAGGAAUGACGCACCUCUGGUGUACCAGUUAUCGUGCCCACGGUAAACGCUGGGUAGCCAAGUGCGGAGCGGAUAACUGCUGAAAGCAUCUAAGUAGUAAGCCCACCCCAAGAUGAGUGCUCUCCUAUUCCAACUUCCCCAGAGCCUCCGGUAGCACAGCCAAGACAGCGACGGGUUCUCUGCCCCUGCGGGGAUGGAGCGACAGAAGUUUUGAGAAUUCAAGAGAAGGUCACGGCGAGACGAAGCGUUUAUCAUUACGAUAGGUGUCAAGUGGAAGUGCAGUAAUGUAUGCAGCUGAGGUAUCCUAACAGACCGG
rnacentral:lncRNA from 1 species